rnacentral:lncRNA from 1 species
CCAGGUGAUGGCUUGGAAUUUCAGAGUUCUAAAAUGAACCUAAAAAGUUACUUCAGCAUCCUUAGAAAUAAGUUGUUAAGGCAUGAACAUUUGAGUUCAUCCAAAGUGUUAUCAAAAGGUCUCAUCAAAUUAUUUUAUGUAGAAGAGCACCCAAAUGUUAUUUCUUGCUGUUCCUCUUCUUUUCCUCAAGAGAAAGAAGGUUGAAAACUGAAAAUGAUGAAGUUGAAGAAUGAAGUCAAUGAGUGUUAAGAAGAGAUUCAUUUAUCCUUGAACAGAAAUGAAAAAGUAGAGUGCUGGUGGUGAUCAUGUCUUCCCUUCACCCAUGGGGACUUUUCAUUUAUCGCUGCCACUCCAGCAUGUUCACUAUUCUCUGUAGCAUGAAAAUCUGAUAAAGCUCAUGAGGGGAGAGAAAACUUAACUUCAAUAUUUUCCUGCUGAGCCUGAGAGUGCUUUGUAUACCCUAGCAAGAUGAAAAUCUUAGCUGCAGCAUCAGGAAGAGGACACCUCACUUUAUCCUACAUUCCUAUCUCAGUCAGGAAAGUAGCUCUAGAGAAGGAACUAAGAAGUCAAGGCCUUUUGUGAAGUUGCUCUGUUAUCUCUGUGGCCCCAAAGACCAAAAUGAUGGAGAAAAUGAAACCAGGAUGAUUUCUGACAUCUGCUUCCACUCCACCUUCUUUAACCACUUCAUCCACAUCUCUCUUAGCUUCUCACAUAAGUCUCACCUGGAAUCAUCUUAUUUACACCAAUAAAUUUACCUACCACCUGCCUGUUGAUUGCCAAA